UACGUAGGGUGCGAGCGUUAAUCAGAAUUACUGGGCGUAAAGCGUGCGCAGGCGGUUUCGUAAGACAGAUGUGAAAUCCCCGGGCUUAACCUGGGAACUGCAUUUGUGACUGCACGGCUAGAGUGUGUCAGAGGGGGGUGGAAUUCCGCGUGUAGCAGUGAAAUGCGUAGAGAUGCGGAGGAACACCGAUGGCGAAGGCAGCCCCCUGGGAUAACACUGACGCUCAUGCACGAAAGCGUGGGGAGCGAACAGGAUUAGAUACCCUUGUAGU
rnacentral:rRNA from 1 species